UGGUGGAGUGAUUUGUCUGGUUUAUUCCGAUAACGAACGAGACCUCAGCCUGCUAAAUAGUUCCGCGAACCAUCUGUAUGGGUGAAGGCGUGGUUGACUUUAUUGCCCCAUGGGCGGUGAAGCGACCGCGUUGGAUCCUUGAUUGGUUGGCGCUUUUGAACUUCUUAGAGGGACUAUUCUGUGUUUAACGAUUGGAAGUUUGAGGCAAUAACA
rnacentral:rRNA from 1 species